UAAACAUUCAAAGUUAUUGUUGAUUCGCUUCUUCUCCAAAAAUCUCUCCAUUGUCUGUCAACGGUUCAACCCUAUUGUAUCUACGUGAGUAAUAUUUUCAGUGGCAGUGAUGAAUAGGUCGAUGGCAAUCUUGCUAACUCUAAUCCAACUUUCUCUGCUAUCUUCACUCGCGUUCGCAUCGGGGAGCACUGAUGGUUAUACAAUUAAUGGUCGAGUUAAAAUUCCUGGAUUUAGCUUAAAAGGAUCUGGUUUGGCAGCUAAAGCAUCAAAUGUUAAAGUCAUUCUCAAUAGUGGUCAACAAGUUACUUUCCUGAGACCUGACGGAUAUUUCUCUUUCCACAACGUGCCUGCAGGGACGCAUCUCAUAGAAGUAUCUGCAAUUGGCUACUUCUUUUCUCCAGUUCGAGUUGAUGUCAGUGCCAGAAAUCCUGGUAAGGUUCAAGCUGCAUUAACUGAGAAUAGGAGAAGCCUGAGUGAGCUGGUUUUGGAGCCACUGCG
rnacentral:misc_RNA from 1 species